rnacentral:rRNA from 1 species
GCCUGCCCAGUGACCCUGUUUAACGGCCGCGGUAUCCUAACCGUGCGAAGGUAGCGUAAUCACUUGUUCUCUAAAUGUGGACUAGUAUGAACGGCAUCACGAGGGUUAUACUGUCUCCUUUUUCUAAUCAGUGAAACUAACUUCCCCGUGAAGAGGCGGGGAUAAAACUAUAAGACGAGAAGACCCUAUGGACCUUUAAACAACAUGCACUUGCCGCAUAAUAAAAAUCUCCGGAUCUCUUACUCCAAGGCAAUAUGACUAUUAGUUUUUGGUUGGGGUGACCGCGGAGCAAAAUUUAACCUCCACGUUGAAAACUUUAAGCUGAGAAUCACCUUUCUAGGCAUCAAUAUAUUGACACUAAUUGAUCCAAUACAUUUGAACAACGAACCAAGUUACCCUAGGGAUAACAGCGCA